UGCCAGCCGCCGCGGUAAUACGUAGGGUGCAAGCGUUAAUCGGAAUUACUGGGCGUAAAGCGUGCGCAGGCAGUUUUAUAAGUCAGAUGUGAAAUCCCCGAGCUCAACUUGGGAACUGCGCUUGAAACUGUAAGACUAGAGUGUGUCAGAGGGGGGUAGAAUUCCAAGUGUAGCAGUGAAAUGCGUAGAGAUUUGGAGGAAUACCAAUGGCGAAGGCAGCCCCCUGGGAUAACACUGACGCUCAUGGACGAAAGCCAGGGGAGCGAAAGGGAUUAGAUA
rnacentral:rRNA from 1 species